AAGUAAAAGUCGUAACAAGGUCUCCGUUGGUGAACCAGCGGAGGGAUCAUUGCUGGAACGCGCUUCGGCGCACCCAGAAACCCUUUGUGAACUUAUACCUAUUGUUGCCUCGGCGCAGGCCGGCCUCUUCACUGAGGCCCCCUGGAAACAGGGAGCAGCCCGCCGGCGGCCAACCAAACUCUUGUUUCUAUAGUGAAUCUCUGAGUAAAAAACAUAAAUGAAUCAAAACUUUCAACAACGGAUCUCUUGGUUCUGGCAUCGAUGAAGAACGCAGCGAAAUGCGAUAAGUAAUGUGAAUUGCAGAAUUCAGUGAAUCAUCGAAUCUUUGAACGCACAUUGCGCCCUCUGGUAUUCCGGAGGGCAUGCCUGUUCGAGCGUCAUUUCAACCCUCAAGCCUGGCUUGGUGAUGGGGCACUGCCUGUAAAAGGGCAGGCCCUGAAAUCUAGUGGCGAGCUCGCCAGGACCCCGAGCGUAGUAGUUAUAUCUCGCUCUGGAAGGCCCUGGCGGUGCCCUGCCGUUAAACCCCCAACUUCUGAAAAUUUGACCUCGGAUCAGGUAGGAAUACCCGCUGAACUUAAGCAU
rnacentral:rRNA from 1 species